UACGUAGGUGGCGAGCGUUGUCCGGAUUUACUGGGCGUAAAGGGAGCGUAGGCGGGCUUUUAAGUGAGAUGUGAAAUACUCGGGCUCAACUUGAGUGCUGCAUUUCAAACUAGAAGUCUAGAGUGCAGGAGAGGAGAAUGGAAUUCCUAGUGUAGCGGUGAAAUGCGUAGAGAUUAGGAAGAACACCAGUGGUGAAGGCGAUUCUCUGGACUGUAACUGACGCUGAGGCUCGAAAGCGUGGGGAGCAAACAGG
rnacentral:rRNA from 1 species